GCCAGGCACGGUGGUGGGUGCCUGUAAUCCCAGCUACUUGGGAGGCUGAGGCGGGAGAAUCGCUUGAACCCAGGAGGCAGAGGUUGCAGCGAGCCGAGAUCGCGCCACUGCACUCCAGCCUGGGUGAUAGAGUGAGACUCUGUCUCAA
rnacentral:sRNA from 1 species